rnacentral:rRNA from 1 species
UACGUAGGGGGCAAGCGUUGUCCGGAUUUAUUGGGCGUAAAGAGCGUGUAGGCGGCCACACAGGUCUGCUGUGAAAACUCGAGGCUCAACCUCGAGCUGUCGGUGGAAACCGUGUGGCUAGAGUCCAGAAGAGGAGAGUGGAAUUCCCGGUGUAGCGGUGAAAUGCGCAGAUAUCGGGAAGAACACCCGUGGCGAAGGCGGCUCUCUGGGACGGUACUGACGCUGAGACGCGAAAGCGUGGGGAGCGAACAGG